CCUACGGGCGGCUGCAGUGGGGAAUAUUCCGCAAUGGGCGAAAGCCUGAUCCAGCAACGCAGCGUGAAGGAAGAAGGCUUUCGGGUUGUAAACUUCUUUUGACAGGGAAGAGCAGAAGCCGGUACCUGUCGAAUAAGCCACGGCUAACUACGUGCCAGCACGCGCGGUAAUCCGUAGGGGGCAACCGUUGUCCGGCUUAACUGGGAGUAAAUGGCCUGAAGCCGGGCUUACAAGGCCUGUGUGAAAUCCCGGGGCGCAAACCCCGGACUGCCUUUGAAACUAGUGAACUUGAGUUUCAGAGAGGUAAGCGGAAUUCCUAGUGAAGCGGUGAAAUGCGUAGAUAUAAGGAGGAACACCAGUGGCGAAGGCGGCCUACUGGACGACAACUGACGCUGAGGCGCGAAAGCGUGGGGAGCAAACAGGAUUAGAUACCCGAGUAGUC
rnacentral:rRNA from 1 species